rnacentral:tRNA from 1 species
UCUUUUCUAGCUUAAGUUAAAAGCGUUAGUUUGAAGAGCUAAAGUUACUUGUUUUUUGUGGAAAGAG